AAUCAUCAACCCCACCGAUUUGUUUCGUCUUGGGGCUUGGACUUGGAGUGUGCUGGCGAAGGUCGGCUCCUCUUUAAAUGCAUCAGUGGAAGAAUGCACCUUUUUUCCCCCUUUGGCGUGAUAAUCCUGUUGCGCCGUGUGUGGGUUGAAGGUGUUCCGCUUAUAAUCGUCCUCGGACAAUAUAUAC
rnacentral:misc_RNA from 1 species